rnacentral:rRNA from 1 species
CAUAAUGUGAAGUGAGGGGGUGCUAUACAUGCAGUCGAGCGGACAGAAGGGAGCUUGCUCCCGGAUGUUAGCGGCGGACGGGUGAGUAACACGUGGGUAACCUGCCUGUAAGACUGGGAUAACUCCGGGAAACCGGAGCUAAUACCGGAUAGUUCCUUGAACCGCAUGGUUCAAGGAUGAAAGACGGUUUCGGCUGUCACUUACAGAUGGACCCGCGGCGCAUUAGCUAGUUGGUGGGGUAAUGGCUCACCAAGGCGACGAUGCGUAGCCGACCUGAGAGGGUGAUCGGCCACACUGGGACUGAGACACGGCCCAGACUCCUACGGGAGGCAGCAGUAGGGAAUCUUCCGCAAUGGACGAAAGUCUGACGGAGCAACGCCGCGUGAGUGAUGAAGGUUUUCGGAUCGUAAAGCUCUGUUGUUAGGGAAGAACAAGUGCGAGAGUAACUGCUCGCACCUUGACGGUACCUAACCAGAAAGCCACGGCUAACUACGUGCCAGCAGCCGCGGUAAUACGUAGGUGGCAAGCGUUGUCCGGAAUUAUUGGGCGUAAAGGGCUCGCAGGCGGUUUCUUAAGUCUGAUGUGAAAGCCCCCGGCUCAACCGGGGAGGGUCAUUGGAAACUGGGAAACUUGAGUGCAGAAGAGGAGAGUGGAAUUCCACGUGUAGCGGUGAAAUGCGUAGAGAUGUGGAGGAACACCAGUGGCGAAGGCGACUCUCUGGUCUGUAACUGACGCUGAGGAGCGAAAGCGUGGGGAGCGAACAGGAUUAGAUACCCUGGUAGUCCACGCCGUAAACGAUGAGUGCUAAAGUGUUAGGGGGGUUUCCGCCCCUUAGUGCUGCAGCUAACGCAUUAAGCACUCCGCCCUGGGGAGUACGGUCGCAAGACUGGAGACUCAAUAGAAUUGACGGGGGCGCGCACAAGCGGUGGAGCA